rnacentral:tRNA from 1 species
GACCGGUUAGCUUAAGUUUAAAGCAUCGAACUUUUAAUUCGAUUAUGGCGUAGACCACUGGUUA